CACGGUAGGGCGCAAGCGUUGUCCGGAAUUAUUGGGCGUAAAGAGCUCGUAGGUGGUUUGUUACGUCCGCUGUGAAAUCCUAGGGCUUAACCCUGGGCUUGCAGUGGAUACGGGCAGACUAGAGGUAGGUAGGGGAGAAUGGAAUUCCUGGUGUAGCGGUGAAAUGCGCAGAUAUCAGGAGGAACACCAAUGGCGAAGGCAGCUCGCUGGGACGUGACUGACGCUGAGACGCGAAAGCGUGGGGAGCAAACAGG
rnacentral:rRNA from 1 species